GUCAGGAUGGCCGAGUGGUCUAAGGCGCCAGACUCAAGGGUUCACUCCUUCCUGAUUAAAGGGAUUUCUGGUCUCCAAAUGGAGGCGUGGGUUCAAAUCCCACUCCUGACA
rnacentral:tRNA from 1 species